AUUGAACGCUGGCGGCAGGCCUAACACAUGCAAGUCGAGCGGAGCGGCGGACGGGUGAGUAAUGCAUAGGAAUCUGCCUGGCAGUGGGGGAUAACGUCCGGAAACGGGCGCUAAUACCGCAUACUAUCAGAUGAGCCUAGGUCGGAUUAGCUAGUUGGUGGGGUAAAGGGCUACCAAGGCGACGAUCCGUAACUGGUCUGAGAGGAUGAGAAGUCAAACUGGAACUGAGGCACGGUCCAUAAUCCGACGGGAGGCAGCGGGGGGGAAGAUUGGACAAUGGGAGAAAGCCUGAUCGAGCCAGGCCGCGUGUGUGAAGAAGGGCUUCGGAUUGUAAAGCACUUUAAGUUGGGAGGCGUUACAAACAGAAUAAGCACCGGCUAACUUCGUGCCAGCAGCCGCGGUAAUUC
rnacentral:rRNA from 1 species